rnacentral:SRP_RNA from 1 species
GCCGGGCGCGGUGGCUCAAGCCUGUAAUCCCAGCACUUUGGGAGGCCGAGGCAGGCGGAUCACGAGGUCAGGAGAUCGAGACCAUCCUGGCUAACACGGUGAAAGCCCGUCUCUACUAAAAAUACAAAAAUUAGCUGNNNNNNNNNNUUGUAUUUUUAGUAGAGACGGGCUUUCACCGUGUUAGCCAGGAUGGUCUCGAUCUCCUGACCUCGUGAUCCGCCUGCCUCGG